rnacentral:lncRNA from 1 species
AGACCCUCUAUAAAAAUUAAAUUAAGUAGUAGUGUCGGAAUUCACUUACAAAUCAAAUGUCAAAUUUAUUUAAUCAAGUGGUGUCUAAGUAAGUGUUAAAGGUGAUUUUCUAAUUAGGUCCAUAUGCUAGCCUGGCCAACUUUGUUGGUGUCUAAGAAAAGCUAUAGAGAACCUCCCACCUAUUUGGCCAAUUUGGUUUUAUUGAGUUUUGA